rnacentral:lncRNA from 1 species
AAAAACGGCACCCCCGCUCUGUAAACUCAUUGCAGAAUAGUGAAACUAGCCAGACGGUAAGACAUCCUAUAGCGCACCUCAAAAGACUCCCGGCCAACAGACCGAAGAGUUAUCAGGCCAACAGAUAAUCUCAGAAUCGGUCCUAAUGGAGCUUUCUGAAGGCUCGCAAUCCUUUACGCAGAUGCUCCGUGGGCUAGAUGAUUUGGAACUGAAUUUGUCAGAGGGAUUCUCAGAAUCAAACUGCGUGCAGCGCUGAAAGCAGCCAGUCUCCGUCACACUAUUGUAUAUUCGGACAGACCCAAAAGAAGGAUCACGGGUGCUUCAUGUACUCUGAACGAGGACAUCGAUGCUAUUCUGCCUUUCUGUUCGAACGGGUUUACCCUAACACCACCCAGGAACCAAGCGACAUAUUUCCGCCCCAAACAGGGCACAACAUCGGCGCAAGUGCUUUGCGCAGAAUCCCCCAGGCCCAAAAAGUUACUUCUUCAAGAAACGGCCCUACACGGACAUGACUCCUCCCCGGCGUAUGACGGCACAGAAGACCAUACACACCGAGAACCCGCGGAGGAUUUCGGAGCGCCUGACAUUCACAAUAAAACAAUGAAACCGGAUGAUUUCAAUGUUUUAAAUGACAUUUCACAGGUAGACGACUAAAACGCAAAUACGGGCGCUAAAACCAGUUACCGAAAUGGACGUGCCUAUAAUUGAGACAGUUGAAAGCCUUUUGGCGAAAAUACCCCCGAUCUACUAGCUUUUAAUUGAACGGAUGAACGAGGGUGGGGUAUCAGACAUAAUUCCAAUAGACGAAAAUCUAUUUUCCCAAAUUCCCGCCGACCUAAUUGAAAUAAUUAAACAUAUGAACGAGUCAGGAACAACAUAUGAAAACCAAUUAUCUCAAAUCCCGCCAGCCCUAGUUUUUUUAAUAAACCAGAUGAACGAGAGUCUGAGAUCUUCUACACCUGACCCCCCAAGCAGCCCGCUAUUAAUGCCCCUUUCAGAAGAGUCUGAAACGGAAUAUGUACAGAAAUAAAUUCAGCAAUACAGAGAUUAGACAGUUUUUCAAUUUCACAUGGGUGAAUCAAAAUCUCGAUUAUGCUGUUUUUUACGUGAUGAUUUUGGAUGCUCUGAACGAACUGUUAGAGAGGGCAAGAGAUUAUGGCGAAUUUCGUGAUGUCUUACAGUUGGAAAUUUUUGGAGAUAGCAUGCAAAACACUGUAUCUCUUAUUUUACCCAAUGGUGAAGCAGAUCUUGAACAAUUUAUAGCCCUGCUGAAACGACUUGUUCAAUCAAAUUUAUCCAUCAUAGCCGAUAGGUCGCUGGAGCUUGUUGUGCAAUUAAUAAGACAAUCCCUGGGUGGUGGGGGGCAGAGAAGGAAGCUAGAUAGCCUAAUGCAAUCAGAAAUCAUAAACAAUAAAAGGGCAUGCCUCAUAAACGUUCACAAUCACGGUAAUAAGCUAUGCUUUGCAAUAGGCCUAGCACAUUUACUAAACCCUGGAUGUACGGAUCUAGAGGCGUUGCAAAAGGCUAGAGAGCUUCAAAAUGCUGUCGGUCUGGGCAUGCAGGAUGCAGUGGCAUUCUCUGACAUAGUCAAAUUUGAAAACUUUCUGAACAUCAAGAUUGUGGUUUUGUACCACAGUAGAGCUAAUGCUUCUCUCUUGAAAUUCCAAAACAACCCCCAAACUCAUCCUCAGAUCCUGUACUUUUAUGUGCAAAACGACCAUUACUAUGCAGUUACCAACAUCGGAGCGUUUUUAGGCGCACCAUAUGUGUGUCCAGCCUGUCAUACCGGCUACACCCGAAAGGGUGGCCACUCGUGCCGUUAUAACUGUUCCGUAUGUCUGGAUGAAAAAUGUCCGAUGCAGCCCUUAAACCUGACACCCUGUGCCGAUUGUCACAGGACAUGCCGUUCGGCCUACUGUUACGAAAAACACAACAUUGAAACAUGGCACCCCAAGGCCUGUAAAUCUGUAAGCAGUUGUGAUAUUAACAGGAAAUGUCCAAAAUGUCAAUGCAAUUACAACCUUAAAAUAGACAGCCCUAAACCUCAUGUGUGUGGAAUCAUUCAUUGCCCAAUCUGUAAAGGGCCUUUGAAAAGCAGAGACUCUGAAGUUGUUCAAGAUGUGCCCCACGAGUGUUAUAUUCAACCCUUGGCUGAAGAUGAACAUUCAGAGAAAUACGUUUUUUAUGAUUUUGAGACUAAUCAACAAUCAGGGGUUCAUUUGCCUAUUUUUGUAUCUACCAUGACUUUCAAGGGGGAUAAGUGGUCAGCUGAGGGACCCAAUUGUGCACUCCUCUUUCUAAAACACUUCAGAAAACCCCAGUACAGAAACUUUACGUUUAUAGCGCACAAUUCUAGAGCAUAUGAUUCGUACCUUCUUUUGAACCCUCUGAUACAGCAAGGCGUUGCACCCAGUGUCAUAGCUCAAGGUAGUAAAAUGUUGCGUUUUGUAGACCCCGCUUUCAACCAGAGAUACAUUGACAGUUUAAGCUUCUUACCAAUGAGAUUGUCUCAAAUGCCUGAGGCCUUGGGUUUUGAGAACUCUGUGAAAGGUUGGUUUCCCCAUUUUUACACUAUAUAGGAUCUUAUCCGAGACCUGAAAUGUACGGUUGUGAUCAAAUGU